UUGAGCUUCAGCUGGCUGCACGUGAGGACUCAGAGUAGGUACACAAUAGCGGUCAUUUAGUGAAGACCUGAGGCAAAUCAGUGACCAGACUUAGAAGGCGAAAGGAACGAUAGUUGGGUAGCCAAACAUUUCCACAAAAGGAUUGCUGAGAAGAUUAAACGAGUGGGCCCUCAAUUCAGUGACUGGCAUCCUUAUAAGAAGAGAUGAGGACACAGAGACAUGGAGGGAAAAAGAUCAUG